rnacentral:rRNA from 1 species
ACAGCAUACACAAAAAAAUACCACACACACAAACAACCUCUUACAAACAUAUCAGUGCCAAUCUAUAAAAAUAUAGAAGAACUAAUGCUAGAACUAGUAACAAGAACUCCCAUCUCUACGCACAACUGUAAGUCAGUUCACAGAAAACCUACUGAUAAUUAACAGACUUAAUACACACC